GGCGAACGCUGGCGGCGUGCCUAAUACAUGCAAGUCGAACGAGAGCGACCGGUGCUUGCACUGGUCAAUCUAGUGGCGAACGGGUGAGUAACACGUGGGUAACCUGCCCAUCAGAGGGGGAUAACAUUCGGAAACGGAUGCUAAAACCGCAUAGGUCUUCGAACCGCAUGGUUUGAAGAGGAAAAGAGGCGCAAGCUUCUGCUGAUGGAUGGACCCGCGGUGCAUUAGCUAGUUGGUGAGGUAACGGCUCACCAAGGCCGUGAUGCAUAGCCGACCUGAGAGGGUGAUCGGCCACAUUGGGACUGAGACACGGCCCAAACUCCUACGGGAGGCAGCAGUAGGGAAUCUUCCGCAAUGGACGCAAGUCUGACGGAGCAACGCCGCGUGAGUGAAGAAGGUUUUCGGAUCGUAAAACUCUGUUGUUAGAGAAGAAUAAGUGCUAGAGUAACUGUUAGCGCCUUGACGGUAGCUAACCAGAAAGCCACGGCUAACUACGUG
rnacentral:rRNA from 1 species